rnacentral:rRNA from 1 species
UACGAAGUGGGCUAGCGUUGCUCGGAAUCACUGGGCGUAAAGCGCACGUAGGCGGCUUUUUAAGUCAGGGGUGAAAUCCUGGAGCUCAACUCCAGAACUGCCUUUGAUACUGAGAAGCUUGAGUCCGGGAGAGGUGAGUGGAACUGCGAGUGUAGAGGUGAAAUUCGUAGAUAUUCGCAAGAACACCAGUGGCGAAGGCGGCUCACUGGCCCGGUACUGACGCUGAGAUGCGAAAGCGUGGGGAGCAAACAGG